UUAUUGGCUGAAAUACAUCAGACUAGGUUAACUGUAGAUAAGCUCAAGGUUGGCUUGGGAACAGAUCUUCUUUAAAUUGGGACUGAGCUAAGCUGCUCACCAAGAGCUGCAACUCAUCCAUUCAUCCAGAGCUCCAAAACUCCAGCCUUCAGAUUCAAAUACAAAACCAUGGCCUUCUCUCCUCGUCUGAUAUACCUCGCCUUCUUGGUCCUGGCAUCUCAUGCGUUGUUAAGUGAUGCUGCUGUCCGUGUGUCGAGCAUCCGGGCCAGUAACCUGCCAAGCACCGCUGUCAACACGUACGUCCAGGUGACCUGCAACGGCUAUUCCCUCAACACCGAGACCAUUAGAGGCACAGUCAACCCCAGUUAUAGUAGAGUGUUAAGCUUCUCCAGCUGCUACCCCGGAUCAACCAUAAGGACGGUGGUGUGGAGAGUAAACUCUAGCGGAGCUAAUACCUCCCUGGGCGCCUGUUCAGGCGUAGUGUUAAGUGGGUCUUAUAAUGCACAGUGCUCCGUGAGCACAGGCACUCUGUUCUUCCAAUAUAUUGCCAGCUGAACAUCUCUGUGAAACAACAUCUAAAUGUUAGCAAUGUUAGACUAGUGAUGCCAUUGUUUGGGUAGAGUGGGCUUUUUGUUUAGGAAAUCUGUGAACACUGAUAUCCAACAAUCAUCACAUCAAACUUGUUCUCAGAAUCUGCCUGUUUAUUCAGCAAAAUUUGAAAUGUCUAACAUGUUUCACAACAAUUAAAAAAGUGAUUUCAUGCAAACUGCAAA